rnacentral:lncRNA from 1 species
GUAGGAGUAGAUUUGUUUUAGUAAUUAUCAAGAAAAGAAAAAAAGACCCAAUGAAAAAUUGUCACAUGGCAAAACAUUCUCUCAUAUCAUCUAAAUCACAUGCACUUUCCUAGCAAUUUCCUACAAAAAAUACCUACCCUAAAAAAAUCACACUCCCAAUCCUUAUCUCUUCCAUCAAUUAAUCCUUAUACCUACACCUAUAUGUCUAUACACAUAAAAGACCUAAUCCUAGAUCCCCUCCCAUAGAAAAUUCCUACGAAGAACGGCAGACCCCCCAAUUCCAAAAUUCCUCAGCUAAGAACGGUAGCACACCAGUCUUCAAGAACCAGCCUCAAACUUCCUCAAAACAAAGAGGUCUAAUUCCCCAAGACAAAAAGGAGCUGCACCAUAAAACAAAAAAAGAAGGAAACAAAAUAUAGGAGAAUUGGGUUUGGCGUGUCUCAUCUUCUUAGAAUUUGUAUUGAAUUCAUUGAUUUGAGAGGUUUCUGAAAGCUAAGUGAAUGUUUCUUUUUUGCAUUACAAUUUGGUGGUGAAGAUUGAAAGAGCAAAGUUUCAAAUGAUUUUUGUUGGAUCCCAAGUGUUAGUACAUUGUGUUUUCUGCUUAUAACAGUUAUUAUUUGUGGAAUGUUGUGAGAAAUUUCAGCACGUCUUGGAUGAACAUUUUCUUGGUUGUUGGGGAAAUGAUCUAAAUUAAGUAGGUGAUUACUUGGAGCUAUUGAUGGAAAAACUGGGUUACUUUUUAUUUGCUUAUGCUAAUUAGCAUCUAAACAUUUGCACCAGAGGGGCUAGGAGUUCCUGGAGUUGUCACCAUGUCUUUCUUAAGUAGGGAAUUGGUUUUCUUGAUCCUCCAAUUUUUGGAUGAAUAAAAGCUCAAAGAGGCAGUUCAUAAGUAAGUUACUGUUUUGUACACCUUUUAUCAUUAAUAUUCAAAUGCCUAUAUCAUCUUGCGAAUGGAAAGAGAUUAUAUGACUGAUCUUUCCAUUUUCUAGUUCUUUUUGAUUUAGACCCUACAAAUUAUGUAGUCAACUGACCGCCUUGAGUCAGAUGUGGAUUUGUGCUAGCUACAGAAUUUUCAGUUUAAUGGUGAAAUAUUAAGAAUGUUUACUUUUAAGGUUAUUUUUUUUACAUUCUCUCAUAUCCUCAUUUAGCCAGAGUUAGCAAAUGACCUCUCCGAACCAAGCAGCUUAGGAAAAUAUUUCAUAAGUACCAUAGUUUGUUUUAGGUGCAUUAAUAAAUCAUUAAUUAUUGUCACUAUGGGUACGGUUCCCGUGGCAUAGUCAUGAUACAUAAUCCCAAAUUCGGGUUACAUUUCAUGUGACCCGAUCGCAACAACUUCGAACAUUAAUAAAAAUAUAAACAUGUCGCGAACCACAGGUGCAUUUCAUGUAGCGUGGUUUGCGGUGUAUUCCAAAACGGCAAAUGUACGACAAUAUUAACUUGUUUAAGAAAUAAAUCCAUAAAUCCUAAAAAUGGUUAAAUAAUUAAUUAAAAGUGGUAAAAAGAAUAAAAUGCACAAUAGGUUCUAAGCAGGUAAGUAAUCAGAUAAUUAGGCCAAUUUUAAUAGUUUAAGCGACCGUGCUCGAACCACGGAACCCGGGAAUGCCUAACACCUUCUCCCGGGUUAACAAAGUUCCUUAUCUAGAAUUUCUGGUUCCCAGGCUUUUAAAUAAAGUCGAUUUUCCUCGAUUUGGGAUUUAAAAUAAACCGGUAACUUGGGACACCAUAAACUAUUCCAAGUGGCGACUCUCAAAAAUAAAUAAAAUAAUCACAUUUAGAUUUAUGUCACUUUAAUUGGAAAAACUCAUUUAUAUCCCCUCGGGUGGUAAAAAAAGAGGUGUGACAAAUCUAAUUCAUCUUUUUACAUGUUUUCACUUCAAAAUCUAGUGUUUUUCAUGGGAAAUUAGGUGACUUUGGGUAGAAAUUAGGAUUUUCAAAUUUUGGGGAUUUGGACCUCAAAUUGAGGUCGGAUUUCAAAACAAAUUGCAUAUUUGAGUUCGUGGGUGAAUGAGUAAUCGGGUUUUGGUUCGAACAUCGAGUUUUGACCAAGCGGGCCCGGGGUCAAUUUUUGACUUUUUGGGAAAAACAUUGGGAAAUCUAUAUUCAUACAUUAGAAUUGGUUUGUUUAGCAUUUAUUAAUGUUAUUAAGUAAAUUAUGACUAUAUACAAGCGGAUUGGAAGUAUUACCAAGAGGUAAAGCUGUAAUUGAGGCUUGAUUUUUGUCCGUGAAAUUGAGGUAAGUGUUUGAUCUAACCUUUGCUUGAGGUAAUAAGAGUUGUUGUAUUAUUUUCUAUGUGUUAGUAUUGAGUACGGCGUAUAGGUGUGGUGACCGGUAUCUAUACGUUGGUGUCAAGCAUGCCCGUGAGUCUUAUACAUGAUUGUUGUGACUCAAUUAUGUACUGUUCAUGCCUAAAUUGAUGAUUAUCUGUGUUGAGCAAGACUUAUGGUACUUUCUGAGUAAUUGACCAUUGUUGAGUAUUGGCUCAAGUUGAGAUUUAUUUUGUGAAGUAACUGUUGAAACGAUAUUGGUUAUAGAUGAUUCCCUUGCCGGGAUGAUAUUGUAUAUAUUGUUGAUUCCCUUGCCGGGAUGUUAUUGUAUCUAUUGUUGAUUCCCUUGCUGGGACGUAUUGUUUAUAUUGUUUGGGUGGGAAAGAGUGUAAAUCACAAAGGGUGAUGCCUUGCAUGAUAUUGUGAGUGAGUGUUAAUACGUGAAGGGUCAUGUCGUGCCGAUAUUGUGAGUGUAAAUGCACGAAGGAUGAUGUCGUGCCAUGAUUUGAGAGUUAAUGCACGAAGGGCAAUGCCGUGCUGAUAUUGUGAAUGUUAAUGCACGAAGGGUGAUGCCGUGCCAUGAUUAUGAGAGGUAAUGCACGAAGGGUGAUACCGUGUCGUUUCUGUUAUUUCAUAUGGUGAGAACGAGAGUAAAAGUACGAAGGGUGAUUCCGUGCACGUGUUACUGUUUCAUUAUUCUUGUUGAUUCAAAUAUGAUGUUCAUUAUGCUUCUCUAUUGGUUUGUUGUUUGAAUUUGAUAUUCCCCGCAGCAUGUCCCUUUCCAUCUUUAUUUGUCAUUUUUUGUUAUUAUUGAUCUGUUUGUAUAUGACUUAACUACACAGGUUUAUAUGGUUGUCGUGUCCUAGCCUAGUCACUACUUCGCCGAGGUUAGGCUCGACACUUACCAAUACAUGGGGUCGGUUGUACUGAUACUGCACUCUACAGUCUUUUGUACAGAUUUCAGUGUCGGACCUUGUGAGUAGCUUGAGGUAGCUGCCUUCAGUCCAGGGAGACCAAGGUAGAUCUGUUGGCGUUCACAGAGCCUUAAGUCCCCAUUUCCCAUUUUAUUUUCUUCUAUCUCUUCUACUUUAAGAAUAGUUGUACUUCUUUCAGACUCGUAUUUGUAGUAAAAUCUUAGUCGUUCGUUGAUUGUGACACCCGAUCUUUGGGGUAGCUAUGUAUUAGAUUGUUAGUUUGCUAUAUCACUUC